UACGUAGGGUGCGAGCGUUAAUCGGAAUUACUGGGCGUAAAGCGUGCGCAGGCGGUUCGUUGUGUCGGCGGUGAAAGCCCCCGGGGCUUAAACCCUGGGGAAUGGCCGUUGAAAACUGGCGAACUGGAGUGUGGCAGAGGGGGGGGUGGAAUUCCGCGUGUAGCAGUGAAAAUGCGUAGAGAUGUGGAGGAACACCGAUGGCGAAGGCAGCCCCCCUGGGUCAAGAUUGACGCUCAUGCACGAAAGCGUGGGGAGAAACAGGA
rnacentral:rRNA from 1 species